GACGAACGCUGGCGGCGUGCUUAACACAUGCAAGUCGAACGGAAAGGCCCUGCUUGCAGGGUACUCGAGUGGCGAACGGGUGAGUAACACGUGGGUGAUCUGCCCUGCACUUCGGGAUAAGCCUGGGAAACUGGGUCUAAUACCGGAUAGGAGCCAUUUUUAUUGUGAUGGUUGGAAAGUUUUUUCGGUGUAGGAUGAGCUCGCGGCCUAUCAGCUUGUUUGUGGGGUAAUGGCCUACCAAGGCGGCGACGGGUAGCCGGCCUGGGAGGGUGGACGGCCACAAUGGGGCUGGGAUAAGGGCCAGACUCCUACGGGGGGCAGGAGGGGGGAAUAUUGGACAAUGGGGGCGAGCCUGAUGCAGCGACGGCGCGGGGGGGAUGAAGGGCUUCGGGUUGUAAACUCCUUUCGGUAGGGACGAAGCUGUUUGUGACGGUACCGAGAUAAGAAGCACCGGCUAACUACGUG
rnacentral:rRNA from 1 species